GGGUCAGUAGCUCCAACUGGAUAGAGCACCGGACUCCAAAUCCGGUGGUUGCAGGUUCGAAUCCUGCCUGACCCG
rfam:Deltaproteobacteria bacterium RIFCSPLOWO2_02_FTLL_57_26 rifcsplowo2_02_scaffold_1320, whole genome shotgun sequence.